AAAUUGAAGAGUUUGAUCAUGGCUCAGAUUGAACGCUGGCGGCAGGCCUAACACAUGCAAGUCGAACGGUAACAGGAAGCAGCUUGCUGCUUUGCUGACGAGUGGCGGACGGGUGAGUAAUGUCUGGGAAACUGCCUGAUGGAGGGGGAUAACUACUGGAAACGGUGGCUAAUACCGCAUAACGUCGCAAGACCAAAGAGGGGGACCUUCGGGCCUCUUGCCAUCAGAUGUGCCCAGAUGGGAUUAGCUUGUUGGUGAGGUAACGGCUCACCAAGGCGACGAUCCCUAGCUGGUCUGAGAGGAUGACCAGCCACACUGGAACUGAGACACGGUCCAGACUCCUACGGGAGGCAGCAGUGGGGAAUAUUGCACAAUGGGCGCAAGCCUGAUGCAGCCAUGCCGCGUGUAUGAAGAAGGCCUUCGGGUUGUAAAGUACU
rnacentral:rRNA from 1 species